ensembl:lncRNA
CUUCCUGAAUAAACAAAAACAGAGGAGAACAGUUGGGCAGGUUUUGGCCCAGGCCAGAGCUGAACUGCAGAAGAAGCUGAUAAAAGAUACCUCAGUGAGUUCACCUUCCUCCACUGUCUGUGUGUGUCCUGGACAGAACGUCUGGAUGUAAUCCGUCGCGUGGGGAGGAGGGGGAGUUUCAGAAAGGAAGAGAGAAAGUGAAACUGUUAGGAGAUUUAAAAGUUCUUGGUAGGAGUCACAACAACAUCUUCACUGAGAAAAAUAAUGGAAAAAGGAUAUGCAAUUCUCUCAUAUAACACGUAUACAAAUGCUGUCAGUGUUAAUAUCACAGAGGAGUCUGAGUGCUUCAUUUGCAGAGAUGUGGGCCUGAUGGGUGAAGAUCCACUGAGAACCUUCUGCGACUGUAAGAACCUUGUGGCUCACCACAGCUGUCUUCUAACCUGGAUCAAAAAGGGUCUUGGACGAGAGGAGAGACUAAGAUGUAGUGUCUGCAAUGCUGAGUAUCAGCUACAGAGAUGUGCACCCUGGCGGACCGUGGCCUCUCAGUGGCAGACCUGGUCCAUUCUAGUCAUCGCUGUUCUCCUGCUGGCUCUUGUGCCAUAUGUGGUGUACCGGAUGAUGACUGCUUUUGACAGUCCCCCUCCACACUUGCUCUUCAAGUCAGCUGCAAUCUGCUUUGGCCUGCUUAGUGAAGCCCUGUUGAUCAAGUGCUUGUGCAGUUACUUCAGCCACCGACUCCAGCGAGCAGAGCAAAGCUCCUUUAGCCUCCAGCCUCGCAGAUCUGAAGAGCAUGAAGUCCAUACCAGUCUGAGGCAGGGGUCAAAGGUUAGGACUCACAGGUAGCGGCGAGAGAGAGGAACCUCCUUGCUUGUAAGCUCUGAGAGGAGAGGAUCAGGGCUUCUAAUGUUAAAUAUGAAAAAAAAACUGACUUAUUUAAAUGUCUGGAGAGAUCCUGCUGCCGACACUGGCAGAGGUUCAGCAGAAAAACUGAAAUUGAUGAUGCCGCCGCUCUGUUUUCCUGGGUUGAAAAUUAAUGGAUGCUUUAUUGUUAGAUGGAUUUCGAUGUUAUGAUCAAAACAGUGUUUAAUCAGUACAGUUGAGUUGGUACAAAGCUUUAUCAAUUUACUUUAUCAAUAUCCCAAAGCACUUUUGCCAUAUAAUAGUUUUAUAUAAUUCAUUGCACGUCACUUUUUAAUGGUUUGACUUUUUCAAGGGAUUGUGAGAACUUCUGAGCCCAUUUGUCAAGGACUUUCAGAAACAGUGCUGAUACAAUCCAAAUAUAAAAGUAUUUUUCACUCAGUAAACAUUUUUACAAUUUUUAAGUAAUACAUUUCUUGUUUUUCUUUUGGAUUGCUUUUUUAUUUCUUCACCCAGCAUAUAGGUAUAAUUUUUUUUCCACCUUUCCAGAAACAAACUUAAUGAUCCAGUCAGGUUCCUUAUAAAAUUGUAAUUGCCAGUGCAAGCAGUGCUUAUGUCCUCAUAAUAAAUUGUAUUUUCUGUGUCAUUUAAAGAAAUGUAUUAAAAAAAAAAUCAAUCUCUUGUCUGUUCUUCAUCUUUGUGCUCAGAACAAGUAUAACAUUCUUAAACUAUGCUUGCAGCACUGAAUAAGGUAGCAAUAUUCUAAUGACAUGAUUAAUGAGGAUUGAGACCAUGGUAAUAGGUGUUAAGCUUGUUCAUAAAAGGAAAGGUUGAGCACUGUACUUCAGUUACUAUAUUCCCGCAUGUUAAUAAAAGUGCUGAGAGCUGAGUGGGAGCAGUCAGUGAUCUCUUUUCUUUAUCUGCAGAGUGUGUACAUGUAUCACAGAGU